CUGGACAACAUAGUGAGACACUGUCUCUAUAAAAAUAAGUAAAUAAAUAAAGAUACUUGUAUCCACCAGGGUCCAGUCUACAAGGAGUUAUUUCAGAGAUAGCAAUGCACUUUGUCUAGCCUCAGGGCUAUGCUACAUACCCUUCUGUCUGCCGUAAUCUUACCUGCAGAGACUUUAAGCCUCCUGACAUCCCACAGAAUAUCACAUUGAUUCAUUACAUCGGUGCCAUGUUGCUGAAUGGACCCAAUGAGCAGGAAGUGGAGGCCUUGAUGUGCAGACGUGAUGGGGCAACGAUGAGACCGAAUAAACAAUUGACAUCUAACCGCAGAAGAAGAGCAAGGACCUGGGACCCAGAAGGAAGAGGCUGUGAGAGGUACAAACUGCAGGCAUGGACAUGAUGCGUAUAGAGGACAGCCACACUAAGCUUUGAGGCUUCUGGAGGCAACACAGAGUAACCAUUUGAAUGGAAAUCACUGAACAGACACAGAGAAAGAGAAACCAUCCAAUGACUUGAGGGUGACACCAAGUUUGCCUGGUGGCCUCAGGACUCCUGGCUCACUGGUCCCACUGUCUCCCCCCG
rnacentral:lncRNA from 1 species